UCUAGCCUCCCGGGCGGCGGUUCUCAGUGCUCGGCGCCCUGCGAAUGCUCGGCGCCCUGCGAAUGCUCGGCGCCCAGCGAAUGCUCGGCGCCCUGCAAACGCACAGCUGUGCAGCCCUAAUCCUGGGAGGACGGGGUGAACGGCGGGGGCCUCUCACGACACGCCUCGGGUGGCUUCGACCCAGACUUGAUUUUGAAGUCUCUAUGUUCAUGGCCAGUGUCAAAGACUGGUGGGCAGAAAGAACAAGAGUAAAGUAUACCUGUUGAUGGCCUCUUCUACUGUGAAUCUGCUGUGGGAUAAUCUUUUGUAUACUGUGAAGAUUUGUCACUCAGAUUGGUCUGAUUAAACCUGAUUGGCUGGUAGCCAAGCAGGAAUUAUGGAGGGACAACCAAACUAGAAGGAUGAUGGGAAGAAGAAGCGCAAAGUCAGAGGGGAAGUCAGUCAGCUGCCGAGGGAGCAGGAUGUGUAGAAAAUGAGAUUUCUACUUGGUUGACAGAUACACUGUCCAGGGAGUGCAUGCAAGUGUCAAGCUGCUGAGUUCUGGACUUGCUGAAAGCUGAUCUGAACCAGUCCAGCUGAUGUGAUUGCUCCCCUUUCCUUCACCUGGAUCAGCUAACGGGAUGCUUCUGAUAAAUACCCCAUGGCCCAGCCUUAACCAGUCUUUCAGCCUUCUUGGACCCUGACAAUUGAUGCCCUAAUUCAGCUGGAAGCAGCUGUAGAAGAAAGUACAUCGUCCCUGUACCCAUGACAUGCUGAGAAAGGCUGAAUCCAAACAAAACUCCCUGACAAAUUUGAUAAUGGGAACGGUGGGGCCUUUCGUUGCAGUUCUACUAAUCAUAAUAUGUGCACCCUACUGUUGAACUCUAUCUCUCACUUCAUUCAUAGGAGGAUCAAUGUGCUUAAGCUCCUAGUCCUGCAGACCCAAUAUGGUCCCUCACAGAACCCGGACCCCUGACAUCAAUGAUUUGAUGACCUACUAGAAGAGGGGGAAAGUUAGAUCCUAGUUAUCAGUAUUUUGUCCAUUCUGCCCUGAGCUGCUACCCACAAUUUUCUGAGGUUACUCACACAGGUGUUAACCAUGAACAUUCCACUCCCUUCUGAUUGGUUGGCCCAGAGCCCGUUCAAAUCACCAAACCACAGAACUCCCUGAAAGGCUAAAAGGGUAUCACUGUGGAAAGUUCCUAAUGGCUUCUCCAUAUUACAUUAAGAUUGGAGCUGUCUCUUUGUGGUUUUCCCCUUUAAAACUGGUGGAUGCCCUGCCUUGGUGGUACAGUUUGUAGCCCAAAUCCUGUUGCCUCUCUGAUAUCAGUUUUUCUAAGUAAAUUUUUGGUUGGCUCAAA